rnacentral:rRNA from 1 species
UACGUAGGUGGCAAGCGUUAUCCGGAAUUACCGGGCGUAAAGCGCACGCAGGCGGUCUUUUAAGUUUGACGUGAAAGCUCCCGGCUUAACUGGGAGAGGUCGUUGAAGACUGGGAGACUUGAGGCAAUGAGAGGGGUGUAGAAUUCCUGGUGUAGUGGUGGAAUGCGUAGAUAUCAGGAGGAAUACCAGUGGCGAAAGCGGCACCCUAGCGUUGUUCUGACGCUCAUGUGCGAAAGCGUGGGGAGCGAACGGG